rnacentral:tmRNA from 1 species
GGGGGCGUUUUAGAUUCGCUCGGGGGAGCAAUGGCAGAAGUGGCGUGUCGAGAUUCCGCUUGAUCUCGUAAAACAGCGGACAAUUUAUAAUUGCCAAAGAAAAUAAUUACGCUUUAGCUGCUUAAUUGCAGCUAACAUCCUGCCUUCUCAACCUGCGGAGGAGGGCCAGGGUGUCAAAUUAGCAGGGAAACUUGUGCGGCCACCGUCUGAGGCCAAAACAAGGAACCAACCAGACUGGCCUUAAAGGAAUCCCGCUUUCAGGAGUCCCAUAAGGCGAGAACCAAUAUGAAAGCUACACACGUAGAGGCUUUUGUGGUUGCCUUUCGAUACAGGGGUGCAAGUCCCCUCGCCUCCACCA